CCGUGAGGGAAAGUUGAAAAGAACUUUGAAGAGAGAGUUAACAGGGCGUGAAACCGCUAAGAAGCAAACGGAUGGAGCGGACGUUAGUCGGUGAGAUUCAGCCUGUCAGUGGCCGGACCCGAUCGUUGCAGGGCGCAAGUCUGCGGCGGGCGGUGAUUCGGUCUCUGCGGGUGCACUUCUCGCCGAUCGCAUCAGAGGCGGUGGGGGUGUCGCGUUGUCCUGGGAGUGGGUGGCUUUCGUCCUCGUGGCGGGAGUGUCUUGCUCCCGGUGCCAGUGUGGUCGCCUCUACCGUGAUGAGAUAGGUGCCCGCCUCUAGCUCGCUAGUYGUGGCAUCUGCGCCGGCUCGUUGGGUUUACCAGUCUCUGGCCCCGGCUUGUCCAGUGUAGGUGUUUGCGGCGAUGCGAGUGGCGCCUGGCUCUGAUGUUUAGUCUGUUACCCAUCCGACCCGUCUUGAAACACGGACCAAGGAGUCUAACAUGGGCGCAAGUCAUUGGGUUGCUAAACCUAAAGGCGAAAUGAAAGUAAAGGUCACUUCUGGUGGCUGAUAUGGGAUCCGUGGCCUCGGCUGCGGCGCACCAUAGUCCCGUCCCGUGGGCAUUGUCCCUGGGGCGGAGAUAGAGCGUGCAUGUUGGGACCCGAAAGAUGGCGAACUUAACGUGAUCAGGGUGAAGUCGUGGGAAACCACGAUGGAGGCCCAUACAGGUUCUGACGUGCAAAUCGAUCUGAAGAAUUGCGUUAGGGGGCGAAAGACUAAUCGAGCUAUCUAGUAGCUGGUUUCCUUCGCAAA
rnacentral:rRNA from 1 species